rnacentral:rRNA from 1 species
GACGAACGCUGGCGGCGUGCUUAACACAUGCAAGUCAAGGGGGCCCAGCAAUGGGCAACCGGCGAACGGGUGCGUAACACGUGAGCAACCUACCGAAUGUGGGGGAUAGCCGGCCUAACGGCCGAGUAAUACCGCAUACGCUCUCGAUGAGGCAUUUCAUUGAGAGGAAACCUACGGGACAUUUCGAGGGGCUCGCGGCCUAUCAGCUAGUUGGCGAGGUAACGGCUCACCAAGGCAACGACGGGUAGCUGGUCUGAGAGGAUGGCCAGCCACAUUGGGACUGAGAUACGGCCCAGACUCCUACGGGAGGCAGCAGUGGGGAAUCUUGCGCAAUGGCCUAACGGCUGA